rnacentral:rRNA from 1 species
UGAGUAACGCGUGGGAACCUUCCCAAUAGUACGGAAUAACCCCGGGAAACCGGAGCUAAUACCGUAUACGCCCUUCGGGGGAAAGAUUUAUCGCUAUUGGAUGGGCCCGCGUCAGAUUAGCUAGUUGGUGGGGUAAUUGCCUACCAAGGCUACGAUCUGUAGCUGGUCUGAGAGGGUGAUCAGCCACACUGGGACUGAGACACGGCCCAGACUCCUACGGGAGGCAGCAGUAGGGAAUCUUGGACAAUGGGCGAAAGCCUGAUCCAGCCAUGCCGCGUGAGUGAAGAAGGCCUUAGGGUUGUAAAACUCUUUUAGUGGGGAAGAUAAUGACGGUACCCACAGAAUAAGCCCCGGCUAACUUCGUGCCAGCAGCCGCGGUAAUACGAAGGGGGCUAGCGUUGUUCGGAAUUACUGGGCGUAAAGCGCACGCAGGCGGACUGAUGAGUCAGAGGUGAAAUCCCAGGGCUUAACUCUGGAACUGCCUUUGAUACUGUCAGUCUUGAGUCCGGGAGAGGUGAGUGGAAUUCCUAGUGUAGAGGUGAAAUUCGUAGAUAUUAGGAAGAACACCAGUGGCGAAGGCGGCUCACUGGCCCGGAACUGACGCUCAGGUGCGAAAGCGUGGGGAGCAAACAGGAUAGGAUACCCUGGUAGUCCACGCCGUACCUAUGGAUGCUAGCCGUUGGGGGAGCUUGCUCUUCAGUGGCGCAGCUAACGUAUUUAAGCAUC